CGGCGCUGACGUGUGCGCGGGGGGAAGGGGAGGCCGCCGUUGGUCUCCGGGUUCUCGGCGGGAGCCCCGGAGUUAGAGGCGCUCCCAGGUCCGCGCCGGGGAUCGGCUCCUUCUUUCGGGGAGUUUUAGCCCCGAGGGACAUAUGGUAACACACGAAAGAGACACGAGGAGGAGAAAGUUAUAUGAAGAUGGAAGCAGAAGAUUGGAGUGAUGUGUCCACAAGCUGAGGAAUGCCAAGGAUUCUGCCUUGGAAACAGCCACCAGAAGCUGGGAGGUAGACAUAAAACAGAUUUUUCCUUCAAAGCCCCCAGAAGGAAUCAACCCUGCUAACAUCUUGAUACCAGAAUUUUGGCCUCAACUGUGGAAGAAUAAAUUUUUGUGGUUUCAAGCCA